AUUGAACGCUGGCGGCAGGCCUAACACAUGCAAGUCGAGCGGCUGCACGGUGCUAGCUUCUGGAUUCGGCGGCCGACGGGCGGGUGAUUCCUAGGAACCUGCGUAUCUAUUUUGUAUAACGUGCGAACACGGGCGCACUUACGCCAUACGUCCAGACGAAGAAAGGGGGGGAUCAUCGGACCUUACGCCAUCAGAUGAGUCGAUGUCGGAUUAGCUGGUUGGUGGGGUAAAGGGCUACCAAGGCGACGAUCCGUAACUGGUCUGAGAGGAUGAUCAGCCACACUGGAACUGAGACACGGUCCAGACUCCUACGGGAGGCAGCAGUGGGGAAUAUUGGACAAUGGGCGAAAGCCUGAUCCAGCCAUACCGCGUGGGUGAAGAAGGUCUUCGGGUUGUAAAGCCCUUUAGUUGGGAAGGAAGAGCAGUAGGUUAAUACCCCGCUGUUCUGACGGUACCCACAGAAUAAGCACCGGCUAACUUCGUG
rnacentral:rRNA from 1 species